CCAAUAGCGUAUAUUAAAGUUGUUGCAGUUAAAAAGCUCGUAGUUGAAUUUUGGAUUCUGCCAGUUGGUCCAUCUUUUGAUGAGUACUGAUUGUGUGGGGUCUAUCCGCCUGGUAAUACGUAAUGUACUUUAUUGUAUGUUAUGGGUAGCCAGGACCUUUACCUUGAAAAAAUUAGAUUGUUUAAAGCAGGCUUAUGCCGGAAUACAUUAGCAUGGAGUAAUAGAAUAGGACUAUGUUGUUUUAUUUUGUUGGUUUCUAGGACAACCGUAAUGAUUAAUAGGGAUAGUUGGGGGCAUUAGUAUUCAAUUGUCAGAGGUGAAAUUCGUGGAUUUAUUGAAGACUAACUACUGCGAAAGCAUUUGCCAAGGAUGUUCUCAUUAAUCAAGAACGAAAGUUAGGGGAUCGAAGACGAUGAGAUACCGUCGUAGUCUUAACCAUAAACUAUGCCGACUAGGGAUCGGGCGAUGUUGUUUCCAUGACUCGCUCGGCACCUUAUG
rnacentral:rRNA from 1 species